GAGUAAUAACAACAAGGCAAAUGAUAAGUGAAAAAGAAGAAAAGGGGUAAAAUUGGAACCAGGAGGUAAAGGGUGCAGGCGAGGAGGAUGGAUGGGUAGCGGCCGAGGAAGGAGUCGGCGAGGAAGGCGCCGAGGAGAGGAAGCAUGCAGGCCGCCCCCGACCAGGCGUUCACCGCCGCCGCCGCCGACGCGUUGGAUUGCCCCAUCGGCCCCGUCAGAUACGUGAUCAGGUUCGCCGACACGCCGAAGUAGGCGAAGCUGCCGGCCAACUCCAACACUGUCCAUGGAAUGAAUUAGCUAGCCUGAUCGAUCUAUAGACUAUAGCUAUCCUGCCUCGCCGGACUAAAAUGAUGAACAGCAUACAUAUACAUACCGGCGACGAAGAGGGCGGAGCGCCAGCCGCCUGAGGUGGCGCGGUAAACGGGGCGCCCGCGGAAGUCGGACACGCCGGGGAGCGCCUCCUCCUCCUCCU
rnacentral:sRNA from 1 species